UACGUAGGGGGCUAGCGUUGUCCGGAAUUAUUGGGCGUAAAGAGCGUGUAGGCGGCCCGACAAGUCCGCUGUGAAAGCCCAGGGCUCAACCCUGGGAUGCCGGUGGAAACUGUCGGGCUAGAGUCCGGAAGAGGCGAGUGGAAUUCCUGGUGUAGCGGUGAAAUGCGCAGAUAUCAGGAGGAACACCAAUGGCGAAGGCAGCUCGCUGGGACGGUACUGACGCUGAGACGCGAAAGCGUGGGGAGCGAACAGG
rnacentral:rRNA from 1 species